GAUGAACGCUGGCGGCGUGCCUAAUACAUGCAAGUCGAGCGAAUGGAUUAAGAGCUUGCUCUUAUGAAGUUAGCGGCGGACGGGUGAGUAACACGUGGGAAACCUGCCCAUAAGACUGGGAUAACUCCGGGAAACCGGGGCUAAUACCGGAUAACAUUUUGAACCGCAUGGUUCGAAAUUGAAAGGCGGCUUCGGCUGUCACUUAUGGAUGGACCCGCGUCGCAUUAGCUAGUUGGUGAGGUAACGGCUCACCAAGGCAACGAUGCGUAGCCGACCUGAGAGGGUGAUCGGCCACACUGGGACUGAGACACGGCCCAGACUCCUACGGGAGGCAGCAGUAGGGAAUCUUCCGCAAUGGACGAAAGUCUGACGGAGCAACGCCGCGUGAGUGAUGAAGGCUUUCGGGUCGUAAAACUCUGUUGUUAGGGAAGAACAAGUGCCAGUUGAAUAAGCUGGCACCUUGACGGUACCUAACCAGAAAGCCACGGCUAACUACGUGCCAGCAGCCGCCGUAA
rnacentral:rRNA from 1 species